UGACAUUGCCUCGAUGGAGCGCAAGCGCAGA
rnacentral:sRNA from 1 species